rnacentral:rRNA from 1 species
UACGUAGGGUGCGAGCGUUAAUCGGAAUUACUGGGCGUAAAGCGUGCGUAGGCGGUUCGUUAAGUCAGCUGUGAAAUCCCCGGGCUUAACCUGGGAACUGCGUUUGAAACUACAUGGCUAGAGUGUGGCAGAGGGGGGUGGAAUUCCACGUGUAGCAGUGAAAUGCGUAGAGAUGUGGAGGAACACCGAUGGCGAAGGCAGCCCCCUGGGUUAACACUGACGCUCAGGCACGAAAGCGUGGGGAGCAAACAGG